rnacentral:ncRNA from 1 species
ACUCAGGCACGAUCCGGCAGUCAGUCCAGCCAAGGUGAGCUGUGCGCUGCUCGCGAACCGACCUGAAGUAUCAAUCCUGAGGGA